rnacentral:lncRNA from 1 species
UUGGUAGCACCGGGAUGAAUAGAAUACCGCGUGCCAUACGCUUCAGCCAUAAUUCUCUACCUCAAAUAAUCAACAUCAGGCACACACAAUCUAUUCUGAAACCUCAAUACACCAUCUCCCCCUUGGGAGAAAACCUCUACCUUUUGGUGUUUAACUAACCCUUUCAGUUCGACUAAACGAGAAUCCAUAUCUUUUUUCUCUUUUACCUAUAAAACUAGAGAAGAUUUG